rnacentral:misc_RNA from 1 species
AAAAAAAAAAAAAAAAAAAAUUUAAAAAAAAAAAAAAAUUAAAAAAAAAAAAAAAAAAAAAAAAAAAAAAAAAAAAAAAAAAAAAAAAAAAAAUUAAAAAAAAAAAAAAAAAAAAAAAAAAAAAAAAAAAAAAAAAAAAAAAAAAAAAAAAAAAAAAAAAAAAAAAACCAAAUAAAAAAAAAAAAAAAAAAAAAAAAAAAAAAAAAAAAAAAUUUAAAAAAAAAAAAAAAA